rnacentral:lncRNA from 1 species
CUCUGAAUCACAUAAUCAUCAAAGAAAAGAAAAGUACUAGAACUUUGUAAUUUCAGUUUUAGUAAAGGCCGUAUAUAUAUAAUGCAUUAUAUAAUUUCAAGAAAGUAGAAUUGUGUGUAGUUUCAAAAUUUGAUUUCUAUUAUCUCCUAUUGAACUGUGUUAUUUCAAGAAUUUGAUUUCUUUCAUCUCCCAUUCAACUGUUAUAUAAUUUCAAGAAUUGAUUUCUUUUAUCUCACAUUCAACUGUGUAAUUUCAAGAAUUGAUUUCUUUUAUCUCACAUUCAACUGUGUAAUUUCAAGAAUUGAUUUCUUUUAUCUCACAUUCAACUGUGUAAUUUCAAGAAUUGAUUUCUUUUAUCUCACAUUCAACUGUGUAAUUUCAAGAAUUGAUUUCUUUUAUCUCACAUUCAACUGUGUAAUUUCAAGAAUUGAUUUCUUUUAUCUCACAUUCAACUGUGUAAUUUCAAGAAUUGAUUUCUUUUAUCUCACAUUCAACUGUGUAAUUUCAAGAAUUGAUUUCUUUUAUCUCACAUUCAACUGUGUAAUUUCAAGAAUUGAUUUCUUUUAUCUCACAUUCAACUGUGUAAUUUCAAGAAUUGAUUUCUUUUAUCUCACAUUCAACUGUGUAAUUUCAAGAAUUGAUUUCUUUUAUCUCACAUUCAACUGUGUAAUUUCAAGAAUUGAUUUCUUUUAUCUCACAUUCAACUGUGUAAUUUCAAAAAUUGAUUUCUUUUAUGUCAUAGUCAACUGUGUAAUUAUACUUAUCUAGACAAGGCGGCA